AUUGAACGCUGGCGGCGGGCCUAACACAUGCAAGUAGAGCGAGCGGCGGACGGGCGAGCAAUGUAUGGGGACUGGUCGAUCGAGGGGGAUAAGUAGUGGAACCGGUGGAUAAUACAGCAUACUGUCGGAUAACCCAUAUGGGAUUAGCUAGUAGGUAAGGUAAUGGCUUACCUAUGCGACGAACCCUAGCUGGUCUGAGAGGAUGAUCAGCCACACGGGGACGGAGACACGGCCCAGACUCCUACGGAGGCAGCAGUGGGGAAUAUUGGACAAUGGGCGAAAGCCUGAUGCAGACAUGCCGGGUGGAUGAAGAAGGCCCUAGGUUGUUAAAGUACUUUCAGUCGGGAGGCGUUACCGACAGAAGAAGCACCGGCUAACUCCGUGCCAGCAGCCGCGGUAAUUC
rnacentral:rRNA from 1 species